GCUGAAAAUAUCAGGAUGCAAAUGGCAUACCUAACAAUGUUAGGCAAAAAUCAUCUGAAUCAGGCAGAAGAGGGGUUGGAGAAACAACUCAUAAAUAGCACUUGCUGCUCUUCCAGAUGACCUGAGUUGAGUGCCUAGAAUCCAUAUCAGGCUGCUCAUAACUGCCUGUAACUCCAGCUCCAGUGGGUCUCUUCUGGCUUCCUCCAGGGUCAUUGCACUCAAAUUCACCUACCAAUACACAGGCACACAUAUACGCACAAUUAAAGAGAUAGAAAUAAUUUUUAAUUGGAAAGAAGAGAUAAAGAAGGUAAUUGUUCCUAAGGAGAAUGAUCCAUUAAGAAUAUGUAACAAUUUUAAACCCACUUACAUCAAAUUCCUGAAAUAAACACUGCUGGUUAGAUAAGUUCAAACUGGGUAGGAUUAGGUGUUGCCAGUACUCAUUCAAAUACAUUAGCCCAGGGGGGGAAUGUUUCCCAUCAAACUAAGACACACCAUAGACCAACUUGAUAAGCCAAUGAGUUUACCAAGAUCAGUUCCAGGAGCACGGGUGAAGGGUUACAGGAGCAGGGACCCCUUGAAGGCAGCUGAAUCUGCAUAGCACAUCACCGACUGGGUGCUGACUCACAAAUCUGCCAUGUGGUGAUCUUAGCACACCUGCACACGGCCAGCCAGGGCAGGGUCACUUUGCCACCAGUUGACUAAGCGUCUCUAACAUUGUGUGGGGUGGGGGAUAAACACUUGUCAGCUUAAGUGAAUAUCAUUCUAGUGUUGUGGAAUGUCCUUCUGUAUAUGUGUUGCUUUUAUUGGUUGAUGAAUAAAGCUGUUUUAGGCAAGGCUUUGCAGUGAAGCCAGGUGGGAAGUCUGAACAGAGAUAUAUAGCGUAAGCAUAGUCAUAGAGACACUAUGUAGCUGCUGAAGGAGAAAGAUGCCACUGCUGGAACCUUUCCUGUAAGCUACAGCUUCGUGAUGAUACACAGAUGAAUAGAAAUGGGUUAAUUUAAGAUAUAAGAGCUAGGUUGGAGCACACCUAAACUAUUGGCCAAACAAUGUCAUAAUUAAUAUAGUUUCUGUGUGAUUAUUGGGACCUGGGUGGCCAGGAACAAACAAGUAGUCUCCACUUAAACAUGACGCCCAACAUGGGUUGGGAUACUAAGUAGGAUAGUAUGAGCUUAUUCAUACUACUACUACUACUAAUAAUAAUAAUGAUAAUGAGUAAUAGAGUGAAUAGCUAUGAGCUAUUAUUUAUAGACAAUUUACAUUCUUGUAUAUUGAUACAAAUUCAAAUUAUAUUUGUUAUAUUGACUAUGCUCCUAUUUCUCUUUAUGGUAUUUGUGCACAUUUGCAAAGUUAUUUUAUCAUAUUGUAUGCAUUCAUGUUUCUACCUCUGCUGAAGAUAUUUUGUAUAUUCAUGCACUUUUAGGAUAUAUUUAUCAUACUGCAGUAUUCAUUUCUAUCUCUGAUCAAGAUGCUUAUAUAUUAUUUACAUUUUGAGGUCAUUGUCCUUAUUUGCUGCAUAUUUGUUUAAAGAUUGUUUAAUUUUUUAAAUAUGAAGUCUUAGUCUUUAAGCUAUAUAAGUAUUAACAAUUACAGGUCAAUAGUCAUCCAUGUUUGUCAUACUUAUAGCUAGACCAAUCAGGUUCUUUAGAUGCAUACAGAUUGUAUUCCACAUAGAGUUAAUCUUCAAACACUUCAAAGAACUAUAAUUAUGACUUUUAAAUAACUUAGGAUUCUCUUGACAUGAAACACAUUUCUCCUGGAAGCACUGAUCUAUUCCCAAGAGAAUGUUGGACACUGAAUACGCUCCACUUGGAGCUUGUUUUAUUCUUGAGAAAACUAGCCUUUGUCUCAACUGCCUCCGUCUCAACUACUAACAAAAUACACAGUGUCCAGACUAGACCAGCAGGAUAUAAGCAAAACCUUGCUGAGACAGGGUAAGAUUGUUUUUCAGACUUUCCUGCCUCUGAAAAUGGUCUGUCAGUUAGUCUAGGCCUUAGCUAAAGUUGGUUGCCCCAACAUUGCAAAUGAGACUUUGGGUGAUUGCCCAGGUAGCCAAUUGUUUCUGCAUUUUUUACACCCUUUGUUUGAUUGCACUUCCUGUUUACUCAAGUAAUAUUAUUUCCCUUCUCAGAUAUUUGAUGGGGUUGAAGACUAGAUAGUCAUAGUUACUUUCCUCUCAUGACUUAGCCAAGCCAUUUUUAAUAUAAGACUUAAACUCCUUAGGAUAGGAUAACCAUUGAAACAUUUAGCAUAUGUUUAUUGUUUGAUGUUGUUCAUGCUAAUUUUUAUGUAUAUUCUUUCCUCUUCUUUUCCCUGGUCAAUACUUGAUAUUCUUAUUGUAUAUUGUUUUAUAUUAGACUUAUAAUUCUCUUGUUUAGACAAAAGGGGGAGGUGCUGUAGAAACUCCUUCAGCCAAUAGCCCUGAAGAUACCAGCCCACUUUGGGCGUGGUCUCAUCUACUGAUGGAAAGCAUGUGUAAGCCUCUUGGUUGCUGGAUUAGGUUCCAGUUCCCAGCACAUGCAGAAGACUACAGAUUGCGACUAUCUCAGAAUAUGGAUCCUCUCAACACUGGUCCAUCAGAACAGGGUCUGUGGAUUAUUAAUUCUUGGUGUCUGUCUCUGGAGAACAAAAGAAGAAAACAAAUGAGUCAGAAAAUAAUCCAACCUCUGAGGUCGUCCUGGAAGAAGUGUAUGAUAUAGGAAAGCUGUUUGACUUCCUGGCACUCAGAGAGCUAAAGAGAACAAGAGUCACCAUUCAUAAACCUGUCCUCCAGCUAUGCCAUGCCUACUAAUAGCCCGUUUGGUAAUAGUUAUGAACUUCUCGAUGGAUUAAUCCAUUGGUGACGUCAGCACCCUCACGAGGCAGCCACCCCAACUGCACUGCCAGGUAGGGACCCAGCCCUCAGCAGACUGGUCUUUUGGGGGGUAUUUUCUGUCCAACUAUAACAAUUUCUUUAAUCAUUUGUGCAAAGUCAUUUUCCCACAUGGGAAAAUGUUUACAUGUGCUUUAGACUUAGCUGCAAAGAGUGAAAUUGGGCUCUCGAGAGGAAAUCCGAACUACUGUGCUCACUACAGUAUUCCAGGCCACAGCCAAGACGUGGAAGCAGACUAACUGCACAAACGGAACGCGGAGAUGGACGGUGGCUUAUGCACACGGUGGGAUAUAAGGCAGCAUCACAAAAGAAGGUUGACCUACUGUAGGGCGGGUGCCACGCUCAAGAGUAGCUGGAAACAUAAACUAGACUUGACGUGAAAGAAAGAGAAGAGGAGGAGGAGGAAGUGGGGGGAGGAAACAGGGGGAGGGAGACAAUGCCUAAAGUUUGGUGGGUAAGGAGGUGAGAGUAAAGAGGGUAGAUGUGGGAAGAGUUAAGGGUAAGUGCAAAUAGAACGAAAAUAUAAAAAUCUCAAAGAAUUUCUAUUUUUUUAAGUUAUCACCCCCAAAAUUAUAAGAAUGUGUGGUGAUAACUUAUUAUAGAUUAAUAUAAUUAAUAUAUUAUAAUCUUAUUUUAAUAUUUUAAAAAUGUACAGAAAAGCAUAAUACAUUAUAUAAACAUUAUACUCACAGCCAAAUAAAACCAUCAAUUAAUUAAAAACAAGCUGUUUAGUGACUUUCGGUCCAUUUGAAACCUUUAUAUUUUCUUUUUCGCGUUUACCCUCCUCUGCUGCCCCUACCCUAAGCUUCUUGUUUUCUAUUUCUCCCUCAACUCAUCACGAAUGUUGAAAAAUCAAAAACAAAUUAAUCUGACUUUUUUUUAAAAGACGUAUUUCUUUUUAUUUACCUGUAUAUUUCUGUCUCUAUCUGUCCCCAACUGAGUGUAUGUGUGUGGGGUGUGUGUGUGUGUGUGUACACCAUGUGUCUGCUGUUACCUGCAAAAGUCAGAAAAGGGCAUGGAGCUCUUGGAGCUGGAGUUAGAAAUGAGAUGCUUGGCAUAGCUGCCCAGAGCUCAGGACAUCUGGAAGAGUAGCAAGUUCUCUUAACUACUGAGGCAUCUAUCUCUCCAGUCCCUCUGCCAGAAUUCCUUGAGUAGAUCAGCACCAUUAGUUCUCUAGAAUUUUAAAACCUCUUCAUGAAAAACAUAAUUGGGCAAUCUUAGGUACAACCAUCUCCUUACAAGUAAGGAUAAUGCUGCAGGUUCAACAGGAUGAAGUCCCCACUUGAUCAUCUAAACAUCAAAGAGUAAACACAGAAUCUGGAAGCCUUGCUUUUGCUAUUCCUGAUGGUUUUCCAGAUAAGAACCAUAUCUUGCUGGCCCGUGGUGGCACGUGCCUUUAAUCCCAGCCCUUGGGAAGCAAAGGCAGAGGCAGGUGGAUCUUAGUGAGUUCGAGGCCAACCUGGUUUACAAAGUGAGUUCCAGGACAGCCAGGACUUUUUACACAGAGAAACCAUGUCUCAAAACAAACAAACAAACAAACAAACAAAAAACCCAAAACAAAACAAAAAAGAAUAGAAAAAGAAAACUAAAAGAGAAAGAAUAGAAUCUCUGUGUUUUGCUUCACUGGCUUUCUGUCUAGUUGCUUUGUUCAGAGUGGAAGGGACUUGUGUUUCCUGUGUGGCGCUGGGAUGGGCUGCUGUUACUGGCAGCUGUCAAGCUGGCCCUGCACUCCACAGUACUCUGUGUGGACUGAGAUGGAGAUGGUUGUCCAGUUAGGCAAUCUGGACUAUGACCAAUACUAGGAUUUUAUUUUCCCUCUAAUUGAAGCUUUCCCUUGAAACCACCUUGUUUCUCCUUAAUUUGACUCUUUUAGGAAAACCACUGAUGGACAAGGCUUUCACAGUAGCUUCCUCAGACAGCACGAGCAUCCUCGUUUGGGGUGAUAUGGUUCACAGUGGCUUCAGGACCACAGUGUAUGCUGGAGAGAUGUUUAUCUAAGUACUGGGGCCGGUGCUAUUGAACAAAACUCUCUAGACCAGUGGUUCUCAACCUGUGGAUAGCACCAUCCUAAAGGGGUGGCAUAUCAAAUAUCCUGCAUAUCAGAUAUCUGCAUUGCAUUUCAUAAUAGCAGCAAAAUUGCAGUUAUGAAUUAGCAAUGAAAAUAAUUUUAUGGUGUGGAGGGGAGGUAACCACAACAUAAGAAACUAUUAAAAGGUCGAAUUAAGAAGUCUGAGAACCACUGCCCUAGACUCUCAAUGCUCUGAGUUAUCCUGGGAGACCAAACCCUUUCAUCAAUCAUAAGCAAUCUGAAAUUGACUCAAAGCAAGUGCUGCGGGCAAAAUUAUUUGAGUAUACGAUGGCUUGGAUCUGGAAUGCUGUGAUGAUUAACUCAGUUGUCAACUCGAUUGGAUCAAGGAAGAACUCGGAAACAGGUCUCUUAGAAGUCUGUGGGGGUGUUUCCAGAAAGGAUUAACUGAAUGAGAAGACACUCCCCUGGAGUGGGAGGCACCACAGGAGGCCCUGCUAUAAAGAGAUCCCGUAGAAAAGCUGGCUGCUUUUCCUGCUUGCCUUUGCCUCUUGCUGGUGGAUGCAUCCACUCUGGCUGUUGUGUUGUUGCUGCUAUCUUUUUUUAUGCUGAUAUUUGAAUCCAGCUUCUUUAGUCCUCCAAUGUCCACUGAAGGCAAGCGGCUCUCCCAGAUCUCCUAGGCCAUCUGGCCUCAUGGACCAAGCAGCUCUCUGGUUCACAGUCUUUCCAGUGUGAAGACAGCCAUUGACCACCAGUUCCUGUUAUGUAUAAUGGAUAAUGAUAGUGGAUUCUGUUUGUAAUAAUAUGUCCAUUCUGUUUGCUC